UACGAAGGGGGCUAGCGUUGCUCGGAAUCGCUGGGCGUAAAGCGCACGUAGGCGGCUCUUUAAGUCAGGGGUGAAAUCCCAAGGCUCAACCUUGGAACUGCCUUUGAUACUGGGGAUCUCGAGUCCGGAAGAGGUUGGUGGAACUGCGAGUGUAGAGGUGAAAUUCGUAGAUAUUCGCAAGAACACCAGUGGCGAAGGCGGCCAACUGGUCCGGUACUGACGCUGAGGUGCGAAAGCGUGGGGAGCAAACAGG
rnacentral:rRNA from 1 species